AUACGUAGGGAGCGAGCGUUGUCCGGAAUUACUGGGUGUAAAGGGAGCGUAGGCGGGACGGCAAGUCAGAUGUGAAAUACAUGGGCUCAACCCAUGGGCUGCAUUUGAAACUGCUGUUCUUGAGUGAAGUAGAGGUAAGCGGAAUUCCUGGUGUAGCGGUGAAAUGCGUAGAUAUCAGGUGGAACACCGGUGGCGAAGGCGGCUUACUGGGCUUUUACUGACGCUGAGGCUCGAAAGCGUGGGGAGCAAACAGGAUUAGAUACCCUGGUAGUCCACGCUGUAAACGAUGAUCACUAGGUGUGGGGGGACUGACCCCUUCCGUGCCGCAGUUGACACAAUAAGUGAUCCACCUGGGGAGUACGGCCGCAAGGUUGAAACUCAAAUGAAUUGACGGGG
rnacentral:rRNA from 1 species